rnacentral:rRNA from 1 species
ACCCGCUGAACUUAAGCAUAUCACUAAGCGGAGGAAAAGAAACUAACUAGGAUUGCCUCAGUAACGGCGAGUGAAGCGGCAAGAGCCCACAUUGGUAAUCUUCGUGCUGAGCACGAUGAAUUGUAAUCUGUAGGGCGCGGGCUUCUAGGUCGCUCCGCAUAAGUGCUCCUGGAAAGGGCCGCCAGAGAGGGUGUCAGCCCCGUAUGUGGUGGUGCGACUGAACGUAGCGCGUGUUCAGAGAGUCGGGUUGUUUUGUAUUGCAGCCCUAAGUGGGAGAUAAGCAUCUUCUAAGGCUAAAUAUCCGCGGGAAACCGAUAGCGAACAAGUACUGUGAAGGAAAGAUGAAAAGAACUUUGGAAAGAGAGUCAAAAGACUUGAAAUCGUUGAGAAGGAAGCGGUAGAAAUUUAUCCUUCGGCGUAGUGCUAAGGGUGUCGCCUAACCAUCAUAGAUUGGGGAAGUGGCUCUGUGUACUGCGUCGUGCGGCAAGAUGGGGUCGGGUUGCAGCAGAGGCUUCCGUCGCCGGGGUUUAAGCCAGUGGCGGUGUGUCGGUUGUGGCCGGGCCUGAGGGGCUUUGUGCGAUCUUGCCUAAAUGGUUUUUACCGUCCCGUCUUGAAACACGGACCAAGGAGUCUAACAUAUAUGCGAGUGUGCUGGUGGAGAAACCAACACGCAUAAUGAAAGUGAUUGAUGCCAUCAUUGGGCAGCAUCUACCGACCAUGAUCCUCUGGUGAAAGGUUUGCGUCUGAGCAUAUCUGUUAGGACCCGAAAGAUGGUGAACUAUGCUUGAGUAGGGUGAAGCCAGGGGAAACUCUGGUGGAAGCUCGCAGCGGUUCUGACGUGCAAAUCGUUCGUCGAACUUGAGUAUAGGGGCGAAAGACUAAUCGAACCAUCUAGUAGCUGGUUCCCUCCGAAGUUUCCCUCAGGAUAGCUGGGACAAUAACGCAGUUUUAUCAGGUAAAGCGAAUGAUUAGAGGUUUCGGGGGUAAGUUGCCCUCGACCUAUUCUCAAACUUUAAAUUGGUAAGAACCUAGGCCUUCCUUAAUUGAGGCUGUGGGGUUUAAUGCGUGUCCUUAGUGGGCCAUUUUUGGUAAGCAGAACUGGCGAUGAGGGAUGCUCCUAACGUCGAGUUAAGGUGCCAAAGUGCACGCUCAUCAGAUACCACAAAGGGUGUUGGUUCAUAUAGACAGCAGGACGGUGGCCAUGGAAGCUGGAACCCGCUAAGGAGUGUGUAACAACUCACCUGCCGAAUGAACUAGCCCCGAAAAUUAAUGGCGCUAAAGCGUGCGACCGAUACUCGACCAUUGCCGCGAGAGUGUGGCGGUAAUGAGUAGGAGGGCGUGAGCGUUGUUGCGAAGCCUCUGGCGUGAGCCUGGGUUGAACAGCGUUUAGUGCAGAUCUUGGUGGUAGUAGCAAUUAUUCAAAUGAGAACUUUGAAGGCCGAAGUGGAGAAGGUUUCCGUGAGAACAGCAAUUGGUCACGGGUGACUCGAUCCUAAGACAUGGGGGAACUCCUUGUUAAGUGCGCUUCGGCGCGUAGUCGAAAGGGAAUGAGGUUAAUAUUCCUCAAGCUGGCUGUGGAUAUUGUACGGUAACGUAAGUGAGCCCAGAAACGCCAGCGCGAGCCUCUGGAAGAGUUCUCUUUUCUUUUUAACAGGUUAGCGACCUUGAAAUUGGAUUAUCCAGAGCUAAGGUUGUACGCCUGGAAGAGCACCGCGCCUUCUGCGGUGUCAGGUGCGCUCGCGAUGGUCCGUGAAAAUCUGGGUGAGAGGACUAUUUCACACCAGUUCGUACCCAUAACCGCAUCAGGUCUCCCAAGGUUA